UACGGAGGGUGCAAGCGUUAUCCGGAUUUACUGGGUUUAAAGGGUGCGUAGGCGGGCCCUUAAGUCAGUGGUGAAAGCUCCGAGCUUAACUCGGAAACUGCCAUUGAUACUAUUGGUCUUGAAUGUUGUUGAGGUGGGCGGAACGGGUCAUGUAGCGGUGAAAUGCAUAGAUAUGACCCGGAACACCGAUUGCGAAGGCAGCCCACUAAGCAAUGAUUGACGCUGAGGCACGAAAGCGUGGGGAAUCAAACAGGAGUUAGAAUGAUCCC
rnacentral:rRNA from 1 species